rnacentral:rRNA from 1 species
ACUGAACGCUGGCGGCAGGCCUAACACAUGCAAGUCGAGCGAGCGGCGGACGGGUGAGUAAUGGAUGGGGAUCUGCCCGAUAGAGGGGGAUAACUACUGGAAAAGGUGGCUAAUACCGCAUACUAUCGGAUGAACCCAUAUGGGAUUAGCUAGUAGGUGGGGUAAAGGCUCACCUAGGCGACGAUCCCUAGCUGGGCUGAGAGGAUGAACAGCCACACUGGGACUGAGACACGGCCCAGAGUCCUACGGGAGGCAGCAGUAGGGAAUAUUGCACAAUGGGCGCAAGCCUGCUGCAGCCCUGCCGCGUGUAUGAAGAAGACCUUUGGAUUGUAAAGUACUUUCAGCGGGGAGGCGUUACCCGCAGGAGAAGCACCGGCUAACUCCGUGCCAGCAGCCGCGGUAAUAC